rfam:Synechococcus sp. WH 8102 complete genome.
GAAUGUGUGAGGAGUGCUGAACGCCUCUUCAGGGUCGAAACAAGGACAGACUCCUGAACGUGUUCCACU